GGAAUUUUCAUUGGGGCACAUGUGAAAUCGAGGAAAGGUCCAAAAAUUGAAGGAAGAGUGAUCGAUAUGGUAGAUAGCAUACCGCUAUAUAAUUGCGACGCAAAAGUCAUCUGGGAAGGUAAACCUGCUAGAAGAUGCAGAGUUGGAAGAAAUGGAGAAGUGGACAUAAAGUUCAAAGUACCGGCAGAAGUACCAUACAUUGAAGACCAUUUACAAAAAAUCAGUGAAGACAGUGCAGUUGUAGGGCUAAGAGUUGUGAAAAAAACAAACGACGAGCGUUCAACAGUUGGCACAAUCAUUGCAAUAAAG